UACGAAGGGAACUAGCGUUGUUCGGAAUCACUGGGCGUAAAGCGGGCGCAGGCGGACUAUCAAGUCAGGGGUGAAAUCCUGGGGCUUAACCCCAGAAUUGCCUUUGAAACUGAUAGUCUGGAGUGUGUGAGGGGGUAGCGGAAUUCCGAAUGUAGAGGUGAAAUUCGUAGAUAUUCGGAGGAACACCGGUGGCGAAGGCGGCUACCUGGCACACAACUGACGCUGAGGUCCGAAAGCGUGGGGAUCAAACAGG
rnacentral:rRNA from 1 species